rnacentral:rRNA from 1 species
UACAGAGGGUGCAAGCGUUAAUCGGAAUUACUGGGCGUAAAGGGUGCGUAGGUGGUUUGAUAAGUUGUGUGUGAAAGCCCUGGGCUUAACCUGGGAAUGGCACAUGAGACUGUUAAACUAGAGUAGAGUAGAGGGAAGUGGAAUUUCCGGUGUAGCGGUGAAAUGCGUAGAUAUCGGAAGGAACAUCAGUGGCGAAGGCGGCUUCCUGGACUCAUACUGACACUGAGGCACGAAAGCGUGGGGAGCAAACAGG